rnacentral:rRNA from 1 species
UACGUAGGUGGCAAGCGUUGUCCGGAUUUAUUGGGUGUAAAGGGUGCGUAGGCGGCUUUUUAAGUCAGUGGUGAAAUACUUCAGCUUAACUGGAGAGGUGCCAUUGAUACUGGGAUGCUUGAGUACUGAUGAGGUAGGCGGAAUGGACGGUGUAGCGGUGAAAUGCUUAGAUAUCGUCCAGAACACCGAUAGCGAAGGCAGCUUACUAAGGAGUAACUGACGCUGAGGCACGAAAGUGUGGGGAUCAAACAGG